GAGGGGGUGGUACAACUGCCAGAUGGAGUAGAGCAAGUGGUCCCCACAGAGGAGGUGGUACAGCUGCCGGGUGGAGCAGAGCAGGUGGUCACAGCAGAGGAGGUGGUACAGCUGCCGGGUGGAGCAGAGCAGGUGGUCACAGCAGAGGAGGUGGUACAGCUGCCGGGUGGAGCAGAGCAGGUGGUCACAGCAGAGGAGGUGGUACAGCUGCCGGGUGGAGCAGAGCAGGUGG